UACACUCCUACGGGAGGCAGCAGUGGGGAAUUUUGGACAAUGGGCGAAAGCCUGAUCCAGCAAUGCCGCGUGCAGGAUGAAGGCCUUCGGGUUGUAAACUGCUUUUGUACGGAACGAAAAAGCUCCUUCUAAUACAGGGGGCCCAUGACGGUACCGUAAGAAUAAGCACCGGCUAACUACGUGCCAGCAGCCGCGGUAAUACGUAGGGUGCGAGCGUUAAUCGGAAUUACUGGGCGUAAAGCGUGCGCAGGCGGUUAUGUAAGACAGAUGUGAAAUCCCCGGGCUCAACCUGGGAACUGCAUUUGUGACUGCAUGGCUAGAGUACGGUAGAGGGGGAUGGAAUUCCGCGUGUAGCAGUGAAAUGCGUAGAUAUGCGGAGGAACACCGAUGGCGAAGGCAAUCCCCUGGACCUGUACUGACGCUCAUGCACGAAAGCGUGGGGAGCAAACAGGAUUAGAAACCCUAGUAGUCC
rnacentral:rRNA from 1 species